AACGAACGCUGGCGGCAGGCUUAACACAUGCAAGUCGAGCGCCCCGCAAGGGGAGCGGCAGACGGGUGAGUAACGCGUGGGAAUCUACCCAUCUCUACGGAAUAACGCAUGGAAACGUGUGCUAAUACCGUAUACGUCCUUCGGGAGAAAGAUUUAUCGGAGAUGGAUGAGCCCGCGUUGGAUUAGCUAGUUGGUGGGGUAAAGGCCUACCAAGGCGACGGUCCAUAGCUGGUCUGAGAGGAUGAUCAGCCACACUGGGACUGAGACACGGCCCAGACUCCUACGGGAGGCAGCAGUGGGGAAUAUUGGACAAUGGGCGCAAGCCUGAUCCAGCCAUGCCGCGUGAGUGACGAAGGCCCUAGGGUUGUAAAGCUCUUUCACCGGUGAAGAUAAUGACGGUAACCGGAGAAGAAGCCCCGGCUAACUUCGUGCCAGCCGCCGCAGUAAGAC
rnacentral:rRNA from 1 species